CCUACGGGUGGCACCAGUGGGGAAUAUUGCACAAUGGGCGCAAGCCUGAUGCAGCCAUGCCGCGUGUAUGAAGAAGGCCUUCGGGUUGUAAAGUACUUUCAGCGGGAGGAAGGCAUUAAGGUUAAUAACCUUGGUGAUUGACGUUACUCGCAGAAGAAGCACCGGCUAACUCCGUGCCAGCAGCCGCGGUAAUACGGAGGGUGCAAGCGUUAAUCGGAAUUACUGGGCGUAAAGCGCACGCAGGCGGUCUGUCAAGUCGGAUGUGAAAUCCCCGGGCUCAACCUGGGAACUGCAUUCGAAACUGGCAGGCUAGAGUCUUGUAGAGGGGGGUAGAAUUCCAGGUGUAGCGGUGAAAUGCGUAGAGAUCUAGAGGAAUACCGGUGGCGAAGGCGGCCCCCUGGACAAAGACUGACGCUCAGGUGCGAAAGCGUGGGGAGCAAACAGGAUUAGAUACCCGUGUAGUC
rnacentral:rRNA from 1 species